rnacentral:rRNA from 1 species
GAUGAACGCUGGCGGCGUGCCUAAUACAUGCAAGUCGAGCGAACGGACGAGAAGCUUGCUUCUCUGAUGUUAGCGGCGGACGGGUGAGUAACACGUGGAUAACCUACCUAUAAGACUGGGAUAACUUCGGGAAACCGGAGCUAAUACCGGAUAAUAUUUUGAACCGCAUGGUUCAAAAGUGAAAGACGGUCUUGCUGUCACUUAUAGAUGGAUCCGCGCUGCAUUAUCUAGUUGGUAAGGUAACGGCUUACCAAGGCAACGAUGCAUAGCCGACCUGAGAGGGUGAUCGGCCACACUGGAACUGAGACACGGUCCAGACUCCUACGGGAGGCAGCAGUAGGGAAUCUUCCGCAAUGGGCGAAAGCCUGACGGAGCAACGCCGCGUGAGUGAUGAAGGUCUUCGGAUCGUAAAACUCUGUUAUUAGGGAGGAACAUAUGUGUAAGUAACUGUGCACAUCUUGACGGUACCUAAUCAGAAAGCCACGGCUAACUACGUG